UUUCUUCUCUAGGCAGCAGGCCCGAAAAUUGGGGGAGGGGACAGUCAAUUAGAUCGAUCCUAGUACUUAUU